rnacentral:rRNA from 1 species
AUACGUAGGGAGCGAGCGUUGUCCGGAAUUACUGGGUGUAAAGGGUGCGUAGGCGGGACGGCAAGUCAGAUGUGAAAUACCGGGGCUCAACCCCGGGGCUGUAUUUGAAACUGUCGUUCUUGAGUGAGGUAGAGGUAAGCGGAAUUCCUAGUGUAGCGGUGAAAUGCGUAGAUAUUAGGAGGAACAUCGGUGGCGAAGGCGGCUUACUGGGCCUUUACUGACGCUGAGGCACGAAAGCGUGGGGAGCAAACAGGAUUAGAUACCCUGGUAGUCCACGCUGUAAACGAUGAUGACUAGGUGUGGGGGGACUGAACCCUUCCGUGCCGCAGUUAACACAAUAAGUCAUCCACCUGGGGAGUACGGCCGCAAGGUUGAAACUCAAAUGAAUUGACGGGG